rnacentral:rRNA from 1 species
ACCAUGCAAGUCGAGCGGUAACAGAUCCAGCUUGCUGGAUGCUGACGAGCGGCGGACGGGUGAGUAAUGCAUAGGAAUCUGCCCGAUAGUGGGGGAUAACCUGGGGAAACCCAGGCUAAUACCGCAUACGUCCUACGGGAGAAAGGGGGCUCCGGCUCCCGCUAUGGGAUGAGCCUAUGUCGGAUUAGCUAGUUGGUGAGGUAACGGCUCACCAAGGCCACGAUCCGUAGCUGGUCUGAGAGGAUGAUCAGCCACAUCGGGACUGAGACACGGCCCGAACUCCUACGGGAGGCAGCAGUGGGGAAUAUUGGACAAUGGGGGAAACCCUGAUCCAGCCAUGCCGCGUGUGUGAAGAAGGCCCUCGGGUUGUAAAGCACUUUCAGCGAGGAAGAACGCCUAGCGGUUAAUACCCGCUAGGAAAGACAUCACUCGCAGAAGAAGCACCGGCUAACUCCGUGCCAGCAGCCGCGGUAAUACGGAGGGUGCAAGCGUUAAUCGGAAUUACUGGGCGUAAAGCGCGCGUAGGUGGCUUGAUAAGCCGGUUGUGAAAGCCCCGGGCUCAACCUGGGAACGGCAUCCGGAACUGUCAAGCUAGAGUGCAGGAGAGGAAGGUAGAAUUCCCGGUGUAGCGGUGAAAUGCGUAGAGAUCGGGAGGAAUACCAGUGGCGAAGGCGGCCUUCUGGACUGACACUGACACUGAGGUGCGAAAGCGUGGGUAGCAAACAGGAUUAGAUACCCUGGUAGUCCACGCCGUAAACGAUGUCGACCAGCCGUUGGGUGCCUAGCGCACUUUGUGGCGA